CGGGAAUAGCUCAAAUUUUAAAUCUGGCUGGCGUGGUCAGUCCGAGUUGUAAUUUGAAGAAGCGUAUAUCACGUUUUCGUUCGGGUUCAAGUUCCUUGGAAUAGGACAUCGGAGAGG
rnacentral:rRNA from 1 species